UCAGACGAUGCGUCAUGCAUAUCAAUAAGCGGAGGAAAAGAAACUAACAAGGAUUCCCUCAGUAACGGCGAGUGAAGCGGGAAGAGCUCAAAUUUGAAAUCUUGCAAGGUUUACCUUUCACGAAUUGUAGUUUAAAGAAGUGUUUUCUGCUUACGAUUUGGUAAUAAGUUCUUUGGAAUAGGACAUCACAGAGGGUGAGAAUCCCGUCUAUGAUUGCGAUUUGUAGCUUUGUGAUACACUUUCAAAGAGUCGGGUUGUUUGGGAAUGCAGCCCAAAACGGGAGGUAAAUUUCUUCUAAGGCUAAAUAUUGGCGAGAGACCGAUAGCGAACAAGUACCGUGAGGGAAAGAUGAAAAGAACUUUGAAAAGAGAGUUAAAUAGUACGUGAAAUUGUCAAAAGGGAAGCGUUUAACACCAGUGUUGUUUUCUGAAAAUCAACCUCUGUUAGCUUUAUGCAUGUUUGUUUAGACCUAAUCAGCUAUCUUGCAUGUUCUAUUGUUUGCAGUGGUGCACUUUUCAGGUUACAGGUCAACAUCAGUUUUUUUUACCGUAAAAAAGUUAAAGAAAGGUAGCUCAUGGCUCCGGUCGUGAGUGUUAUAGUCUUUUUCCUAUGCGGUAGGAGAGACUGAGGUCUGCAGUGUAGGCUAUUUGGCUAGAUACUCAGGUGCUAUGUGAUACCAUUUCAUAAACAACUUGUUGAUUAUGUUUUGUCUAUUGCAUACUCGCUUGUACUAUCAUACCUACGCUUAGGAUGUUGACUGAUAUGUAGUCGUA
rnacentral:rRNA from 1 species